rnacentral:rRNA from 1 species
UAAGACGAACCGUGCGAACGUUAUUCGGAAUCACUGGGCUUAAAGGGUGCGUAGGCUGCGAGGAGGGUGGGGUGUGAAAUCCCUCGGCUUAACCGAGGAAUUGCGCUCCAAACCGCCUUGCUGGAGUGAGACAGAGGUGAGCGGAACUAAUGGUGGAGCGGUGAAAUGCGUUGAUAUCAUUAGGAACACCAGAGGCGAAGGCGGCUCACUGGGUCUCAACUGACGCUGAUGCACGAAAGCUAGGGUAGCGAACGGGAUUAGAUACCCCGGUAGUCCUAGCCGUAAACGAUGAGCACUAGACGGAGGAACUUUCCACAGUUUCUCGGUCGUAGCGAAAGUGUUAAGUGCUCCGCCUGGGGAGUAUGGUCGCAAGGCUG